AUUGUCAGGAUCUUUGCAAUAUAGGGAAUCAGCGGCAGGUUCAGAACCAGCAACACCAGAUUGCCAAGGUACAUUGAAAUGAUCACGGCCCAGAAUACACCCGGUUCAUCCACCAUCAACCGUGGUCC
rnacentral:ncRNA from 1 species